UUUGCUCGAGACAGAAUUUUAGUUUUGUUCAUGUUUUUCGAUAACACUUGAUGAAAUUCAUACUGCAUUUGAGAUUUGAAGAUUGAAGUAACAAGUGAAGAUACACAAACUCAUUAUUAUUUUGCAAUGAGUGUUAUGGAAUAUUUAAUAGUAUAGCCUAACUGAGAUGCUAGCUAU